UGCGGUGCGGUUUUUAGAUUGCAACCAGGCGUGUGAUCGUGUGCAUGCGUGAGCAGAAUUCUACACACAGAGACCAACACAUUGGGAGACAGCUUUACGCAACAUGCUGGAAACUCAGGAUUCACCACCAGACCUCUCGCACCAAACCCCUGAUCACCCAGCCUGACUGUUUCAGGAAACAGGAAACUUGCUCUCCCAUUUGCCAUUCUCUGUCAGCACCCAGGACCCAAACCCUAGCCCCACGCACCUGCCAGCCACUCUGAUUCUGUUGUCAAUAAAUAACACUUAUUCUUGUA